rnacentral:rRNA from 1 species
CCGGCCGGACCGGCCGGCACGGGUGGAGUAACAACGUAUGCAACCUACGCCCUCCUUUCCUAGGGGGAACGGAAACCCUUACCCGUAAACGGGGAAGGGGCGUAAUACCCGCCGUAUAUCGUUUCGGGUCGAUCCGAGAUCGAGGAAAGAUUCAUCGGAAGAGGAUGGGCAUGCGGCGCAUUAGCUAGACGGCGGGGUAACGGCCCACCAAGGCGACGAUGCGUAGGGGUUCUGAGAGGAAGGUCCCCCACACUGGUACUGAGACACGGACCAGACUCCUACGGAAGGCAGCAG